UUUCCCUCAGGAUAGCUGGCACUCGCUUGAGCGAGUCUCAUCUGGUAAAGCGAAUGAUUAGAGGCCUUGGGGCCGAAACGACCUCAACCUAUUCUCAAACUUUAAAUGGGUGAGAUCUCUGGCUUGCUUGAACGUUGAAGCCACGAGAUUAAAUUUUUGGAUCAGAGUGCCAAGUGGGCCAAUUUUGGUAAGCAGAACUGGCGCUGUGGGA
rnacentral:rRNA from 1 species